GCUUUGGCAGCAAAACAAUUUCCAGAUUCCCCAAAGUGUCAUAGAUUAUAAAGGACACAGAAAUGCUGGAAGGAUUUCCUAACGUUGAGUCGAGUACAAGCUGCACUGGAGAUUGGCUGUUUAUUCUAUGUAUUCGUGACUCACACUGCAUAAACUGCUGAUUUUCUCCCUUUGGUGAUUUUAAAGCAAAAGGGUGACUGGGGGUGAAAAGUGAAACAAUAGAGGCUAAAGAAGAAUGAAUAAAGAAGUGAGAUGUUCUACCAUAGGUCAGCCCCACCCCCCACCCCCUUGCUUCUCCUACCUUCUGUUCUCCAUUAUCAGGAAUGCUGUCACCCUACUUAUCUUGUAGGGCUACUCUUCAGUUAACGAGGGGAUACUGUGAACUUAAGAUUCCAUGAAUCAUAAGGAAAACAAUUCAUGGCACUCUGGUUUGUGCCUUCUCAAGGUCGUGGAAGAUAAAGAAAUGAAAGAUCUGGCUGGUUUUGCCCAAGAAGUUGCCUGAGGAUGAUUGAAACCUUGAUUAGCCUAAGCUGUAGACAGAGAGAGUGCUCUGUGUUUCCCUGUGUCCAGCUCAGGUGGAAAAUACUCACUUUUGUGCCUGAAGAUUAUGAAGAAAAUUUGAACCAUGGUAAUCUUUUGAAUGGUGACAUGAAGUUAGGAUUAUGCUGAGGCUGCUUUUUAAGACAUAUGGGGGGCGGUCAGCAGGAGGGCACAUCAGAAAGGCAGCUGCUACCUGAUCGCUAAAUGUUUGAGGUUUUCUGCUAAUGCUUUGCCAGAGGAACUAGGAUUUUGUGAUUAGCCUUUUAGAAGAAGUGUCAGAAAUGCCUUUCAACACAUAGGUUAUGACAUCAACAACAGCAUAAAGAAAUCUUGUGUGUCUUCUGAGUCAAGAAUUGGAGGAGCUUAGCAUUCCCCAAAUCCACAAUGAUGACGAGCAUGAUGGAUUUCAAAAGUAAGACAAAUUAUCUCCGAAAACAAAGUGUCCCUGUUCUAUUGCAUCCGACAAGGUGUCUAGAUCUGACAUUGUGUGUGCUAUGACUACUUUUGAAACUGAAAAAUUAGGUGCACCAGAGGAAACUAUUUCUUCUGGGAAUAUAACUUGCUCUCUUUACCUUUUAUUUGAGUUCAUGGGGACAUGAAUGAAAAAAAAUAAUACCCACAUUACUUUGUCUUUUGCUCACUCCUUUUUUAUGCAAGCAAAGUCUGGCUAUUUUUGAUAAAGACACAGAAGUGCCCUGCAGACCUUAGUUGCUCUGAUCAUGUCACAGUAUUAGAGGGAUUGCUUUGGUCUUAGAAUAACUCAACUCAACUAGCAAAGUUCUGAAUACCGGAGCUGCUCCACCAAGGCUUUGGCUUCAAAGCAAAGAGAUGCCGCAUAAUUAGCUCUUCUGACAUCCUCUUGAACAAAAUGUCAGUUCAGAAACCUGAAGUGUUUGCUAAUGACAAGGGCCCAACUGUCCCGUAAAAACUGGAAAAGUGGUGUUUGUUGUCUGUUUCAAGAACUGGAAAUGAAAAUCUUAAUAAUGCAGGAAAUGCUCUUCAAAGGCCAAGAAGUGUCAGUGAAAGAUAAGAGGAUCAAUCAGUCUUAAAUACUAGGUUAGUAAGAGUAAGAGGCUGAUGCUGCCAGCAUGGAUAUGUAUUUAGAAGGAAUGAAUAAACUCUUGCGAUAGUGUUAAUUUUAUUUUGAAGUAUAUAAUGAAACCCCUCAAGUACCCAAACUUCAAAAUCCCUUUCCCAAAAUGACCAAAAUUUCCAUUUUUGAGCAUUUAUCUUUCUGCCUUUUUCCGUUCCCUAAGUCUUAACAGAAUUUUAAAAGAGCAGCUAAUAAAUGAAGUAUACUUCAGUUUCAUGUAAUGGAUUGGAUCAGAAGGGAACUGAUAAGAUGAUAUUGGAAAAGCAGGUGGGGGGUCAAAAAGCUGAGAAAGUGCUCAGCUGCGUGGGUUCAAUUGAUUCCUGGUGUGCAAGUUUCCGGGGUUAUUCCAGCUAAUGGCAGGAAAGCUCUCCCCUGAUCAGUUACAGUGGAGGGCUCAUACCCAGGGACUGGUUUCCUGCAGGGCCAGAGGUGAUGAAGAGGAGAUAAGGCCAAUUAAGAAUUCAGACUGGGGAAGCAGGAAACUGAAGCCACAGGGAGAAUUCCAAAGGGGAUGCUGGAAAUGAGACUGUGGGUCACUGUAAGCAUUUAAGGUAGAAUACAAAUGUGAGUUUUAAACCUGCUGUAGAGAAACUCAUUUUAGUGGAAGAGAGAAUCAAAGGAGGUUGAAGAUUAGCAAUGUGGUUUCUAAAGGCAAGACACAGGAGCAGAAUGACCAAGUAGAAACUUAUCAUUUAAACCUAGCCCGGUGCUUAUCAUCCUUUCUGUGUUCUUGGCACACUGGGAUAUUAGAAAUUUACGGUGGUGUACUUGAAGGAAUUGAAAAGCUCAAAACAAGACUAAGCAAUUCAGCAAUAAUUUCAACACAAUCGUGGCAACAAUGUAACUAUAAUCGCACAGGGUCUAUAAUAGCACCCCUGGUGACUGAGAACCUGUUCUGCGUGUGGUUGAGAGUCAGAAAGUUCUAAGCCUGGAUACUGGCCCAGCCUUUCAUAGAUUGGUGACGUGAGCCCAUUACUUAAUGACUGUAAUCAUCAGAUUCUGCAUCUGUAAAACUUCAGAGAAGUGUGGGGAAGAUUAAAUGAAACAAAGCAUGGAAAGGCCACAGCCCCUGAGGUUUGUGGGUGCUCAUUAUCUCUCUGUUCCCUUUGUUCUCAGUCCCUAUCACUGAUCACUGCCCUGAUAGCACUCCCAGGUGCUCCAGAGAUCAGGUUCUUACCUGGUUCAGCCAAUGUGAGAGCUCUUUCAGGCGAAGAUCUGUGGUCUCUUACUUCAUCCACAGCUAGUUGUGGUUCUGCUCUUACCAAACCACAGGACCUGCUCAGCAAAAUGUCAUUGUAGUAAAAGUAUAUGCACUUGGGUAGUAAAGACCAAUUUCAUGUGUUGAACAAAAUUUGGGGCAUAUCUGAAAAAGAGAUGACAAUACCUCAAGGGGCCCUGAGUUGGCCAUUCAAGAACUACCUUUGUAGGGACUCGUCUCCCCUGUCCCAAAUCAAAGCUUCUCUUCUUCCCUAAAUAAUGGGUUGGUGAAUUACUUAAUUAUUCUUUCUGUAAGCUGAAUGAAGCCAAGCACUGCAGAAAGUGUUUUAUAUACGUCAUCUCAUUUAUCCUUUCUUCAUGGCAACGUUUGUGGGAGGUAUUACUAUCUUUUAAAUCAUGUUCAGAUAAGGAACCUAAGGCUGAGAAAGAUUAAGUAACUUGCCAAAGUUGUGGAUUUUCUCAACUGCAGAACAGGGCUCCAAACUCCUAUCUGUGUGAAUCCAACACUUAUAUUCUAACUCAGUGAACAUCAGAAUCACGGGGCAGAGGAGGGAAGGGGCUUGCUACAUCACAGAUUUUUGGGGCCCGUCCACCAAAUUUCUCUUUCAGAAGGUCUGGAGUGGGGCCUGAGAAUUUGCAUUGUUAGUUUCCCAUGUGAUUCUAAAGCUGCUGGUACUGGAUCUACCCUUGGAGAACCACUACUUGAGGUCACUGUAUAGUAAUGCCUCCUCAAAUCCUAGUGGAACACCUGCAAAAAUGAAUAUGCACACUUCUAAAAUAAAAAUAUAACAUUUUGGGGGGAAAUCAGAAAUACCCCUCCAUUAAGAAAACUAUAAUGACCCUAGCCCUAAGAUAGAAACACAACAAACCCUUGUUAGAUGACUUCUCCAGUGGCUGAAGGUACUUGGUGGUGAGCUUUGUACUUCUCGCAUUGCCUACAGCAUGUAACUUUGGUACCACAUUGCCUAACUCAGUGAUUUAUUGUUGUCAUUUGAAAUAAAAUACUUCCAUGCAUAAUAAAACAAAGCAGGAAAUGACUGCCUCGA